AACCUGGGUGCAGCAGAAUGGCUCCUGCAAGGAAGGGUGACAUGAAGAAGGGCCGUUCUGCCAUCAGUGAGGUAGUGACCAGGGAACACACCAUCAACCUUCACAAGCACAUCCAUGGAGUGGGUUUCAAGAAGCUUGUCCCUUGGGCACUCAAAGAGAUCUGGAAAUUUGCCAUGAAGGAGUUGGUGACUCAAGAUGUAGGCAUUGACACCAGGCUCAACAAAACUGUCUGGGCCAAAGGAAUAAGGAAUGUCCCAUACCAUAUCCUGGUGAAGUUGUCCAGAAAAUGUAAUGCGGAUGAAGAAUCACCAAACAAGCUCUAUACGUUGGUUACCUGUGUACCUGUCACCACUUUCAAAAAUCUACAAUAUGCUUUGUUAUUUUAA